GACGAACGCUGGCGGCGUGCUUAAUACAUGCAAGUCGAACGGUGAAGGCGGGAGCUUGCUCCUGCUGGAUCAGUGGCGAACGGGUGAGUAACACGUGAGCAAUCUGCCCUCCACUCUGGGAUAAGCGCUGGAAACGGCGUCUAAUACCGGAUACGACGCACGGAGGCAUCUCCUGUGCGUGGAAAGAACUUCGGUGGAGGAUGAGCUCGCGGCCUAUCAGCUAGUUGGUGAGGUAACGGCCCACCAAGGCGACGACGGGUAGCCGGCCUGAGAGGGUGACCGGCCACACUGGGACUGAGACACGGCCCAGACUCCUACGGGAGGCAGCAGUAGGGAAUAUUGCACAAUGGGCGCAAGCCUGAUGCAGCAACGCCGCGUGAGGGAUGACGGCCUUCGGGUUGUAAACCUCUUUUAGCAGGGAAGAAGCGAGAGUGACGGUACCUGCAGAAAAAGGACCGGCUAACUACGUGCCAGCCGCCGCGGUAAAAC
rnacentral:rRNA from 1 species